CUUUCAUUUUUCAGUAUUGUCAAUCAGUUCUCAGCACUUGAGAAUUUCCGUUCAUGAAACUGAAAGGAGCAUGAAACUAAAGGCGCAGUAAGGUAUGUAAUACUCAGGGAUCACAAAAAUAUGCUCUGCAUUAGUAGAGCAUCAAUUUAGUCUUCAAAGCACAACUAUUAAGUCAAUGGGAAACAAACGCAACUUCUACCAGAGAGCUCUUCUGCAACAGGAACUAUGGGACAAGUGGGUGCCCACAGAUGGGGGACAAAGACUGCACAAAAAGGGGAGGAAAUGAGCGAACCAUGAUCCAGGAGCAUCCUUGCAGGGCUCUGCCACUCAUCACCCACCUCAAGGUGCUGAGCUUACAUGGAUGAGUAACGACACACUACGUCAGCGUUCACAGAGAUGGUUAGCUUUAGAGUGAGAAACUCUUCAGCACUUUCACUCUUGCUCCCAAGGAAUGUAAAGGCUGCUGUACAAACAAUAAAAUCUUGAAAUAUGAGGGCUCCGUAUUCUGUCAUAUAUAUCAGUUACUUUAUUCACUUCAGAGAACAACAUUGCAGAUAUUCAUACAGAGAUGAAUACACUUUUCUAUUCUGCAUGUGUUGCACCGGUACAGUUAGAGGCCAGUUCUGUACACACAAAAGUCAGACUGACGGAGUGUGCUGUUCAGGGUUGGGUUGCUACCUUUUCUUCCUUUCCCUUAGAUCUCUCUCCACAGAACAGCAGCACCCACCUCACACUUCCAUUUAUUUUUCAAAACCCGUUUCCUAGUUUAGCACGGAACACCGCAGGACUACCGAACACCCGCAGCACCGAAUCACAGGAAUUCGCUGCCCUCCGUGCCUCCUCCCGGCCCCCACCCCCCGGACCGGUCCCCUCCGGCCGCCGCACUCGGGGUCCGGCCGCCCUCGGGCGGGGCUGGAAGCGCGGAUCUCCCCAGGCACGGAACUCCCCGGGCGCAGCGGACCCGCAGGCCGCUCAAUCGAUAGGCGGAGCGCGGGAGAGCGCCCGGAUCGACAAUCGGCAGCUGGGAGGCUAUUUUUUGCGAGGGUUGACUAAAUAUGGUCAGGGAAGAGCGAGGCGCGGGGGAGCCGGGCGGCCCGGCUGUGCGUGUUUCAAAUGCUUAGCCGCCUAUAAAGCCCGGCGGCGGGGCUGUGGCCCGCGAGCGGCAGUGCGGGCGGCGGGGUGCUGACCUCUGCGGACGGAAGGAAGAAGGAAGGAAGGAAGGAAGGAGGGCUCCGGCAGCGCGGAGCUGCGGCGGCGCGCCCCGGGAGCGCAGCUCGGGCACGGGAGGAUGCGGGGCUCGGCCGCGGGAGCCAGAAGGAACCACCACUGCGGGAGGGGGGGAGACGAUCGCUGCCUUCAUUUAUUUAUUUAUUUUUAAUUUUUCUGAAGAGACUCCCAACUUUUUUUGGGGGGAGAGGGCUGAUUUUCUUUUUGGGCUUUUUUUCCCCCCCCUUCCCCCCUCCUUUUUGCCUGUGAUUACUCUCAUCAUAGCCCACCUUCUCAUGGCUUGCCAGCACCCAUCCUUGGACUCUUAGCUCCCAGCCCAGCAGCCGUGAGGUACCACCUCUCCACCACCACCCCACCGCAGGCAGCAGGUGCCACCGGCCCCGCACCUCUCCGCACCCUGCAGGCCCGGCCCGGCGAGCUGGCGGGUGAGAUGGCAGCUGCCGGGCCCUGGCCGCACCUCUGCCAGCCUGCAUGACCCUGAGCUCAGGAUCCUACAUGAAGAAACACACGUGGAAGUAUUCCUGAAGACCUCAGAGAAAGCUGGCACUUUCGCAGUGGAAUACAACUCCGAAUCCCAAGAACACAUCCUGCAAAAUUACCAGUGAUUCACGUCUCCGUUCAACCCUGGUUGCUCAGAACAGCAAGCAGCUGCAGAAGCCUGAAUAAGCACUUCUCUUGUCAGUGCCAUCAGAGCAGUGAGCUAUAACUGGCUUUAAGCCACUGCACAGGUAAAUUGCAUCAUUGAAUUCAGUUAGAUUGAGUAGAUGGGUUUCUAUCAUCAGUUAAUUGUAACAUUGUUCUCCCAAAGAAAUCUCAGCCCUGAAUUUUACUUAAUGAAAGAACCAGUAAGCAGCAAAGUCCUUUUCAGGUUCAUUUGAGCAACUCUACAAGUACCUGCUCAGAGCACAUACUUCUUUAUGUACCCAUAUGAACAUACAAUGCUAUGGAAUGUAAAGAAGUAUGUAUUUUUGGCAGGCACAGAACGACCAGUAAGAGGAAACUAACAGCUGUUGGGAAGAGCGUGCUUCCCCACAUUUGAGUGACAUUCAAGUGACAAGUUAACUGGCUAAGGGUCAGCUGGUACUGCCUAAAUAACACAUACUUACUAGUAACAACUCACAAAGCAUUAAGUUAAGGGACUAUAUACGUGGGUUGAGAAAGUUUUUCUUGGAUUACAAACUUAACAUCAGCUGUAAACACAAAACCCACAACGAGGCUGGGAACUAACAGUUCAACAUGCUAAGUCAGAUCAGCAAAAGUUAUGAUUACAGUACACCUCAUACAAUAGAACCUAAACAAACUUUAAAAGCCCAAUUACCAAAACAUAUCUCGUUUAACCAAGCCAUUGUUUUACUAAUCUCAGCAAGUCCUGUACGCUCACAAUGACACCUUUUAAAUUUGCAUCUACCACAGAUUAUUUAACAACUUACAGACUGCAACCAGGACAUAAGCAGAAACAGAUGAGAAAUUAAGGCUGUGAUUUAGAGAAAAGGAUUUACAGAAGUACAUUAAGUACAAUGACAUCUGCCGUUUAGCAUAUAGCAUUUAAGUUAGAAUUUUCUCCAAAUCAGCAUUUACUAUGCUCACUGAGCUCUUCAGUACAAACUGCUGUGUCUGGUUUAUGCGCAGAAAGUGACAAUACAGAGAUUUCUAGGCCCCAGUUGCUAGUCAGCAGAUUAAAGCUAUUGACAGAUUCCUAAAGGGAAACACAAAUGGCAAAUAACACUUACCUAAGUUACCUUACAUAUCAUUUUCAAAUUAACCACAUUUACUUUAAAUCUGGAUUGAAGAAAAUUGGCCAUGCAAACACUUUAUAACACCUUGAAAAUUUUGAGACCUGCUCUGGAAAAACGUCCCACAACAGUUUAAGUUCUAAAAGCAGGAUUAAUUAAAAUAUGCGAAUGCAUACCGUCCCUAAGUUAAGAGGCUCAACACUAAAUUCAGGAAUAGGGAAAAAAAUCAGAGGAAUACUCUCAGCUCACCGGUACAGCAAUUCUAUUCAUAAAGCAGCUUUCUAAGAGCAGUUAGCUGAUACAUUCAUGAGAAGCAGGCACAUCUGUCCCAGUUUAAAAAUUCUAACUCUAUCUAUGUGCUUACUAAAAUGUCUGGGAAUAAAAAAACAACAACAACAGCAACAAAAAGCAACAUACCAAUUUUAGAUUGAGAACCUUAUUUUUAAAAUACUCAAAUAAUACUCAAAUAGCUAUUAUACAUAGCCUGCUAUUUUUAUUGCUUGAAACUAAAGAGUAACGCACAGUAGAAAGAACCACAGAAGAAAGAAGGAAGAAUGGUUCUCUUAUCAGAAUCAUUUGCUAAAGUAAAAUGCUUAACAUUUUUUAAAAAGCCAUUUCUCUUAUAAGCAGAUAUUGUGACACAAAGACAAUGGCAUCUCUAAAUCCAAAUUCAAAUCUACUUUAUAGUGGGAAACAAUCAAACCAUAGUGGCUAAUCUCAGAGUGAUGCUACUGAACUUGAUCACGCUCACAGAAGUAAUCUGGUAUUACCACCAGCUUUACAGAGAGGUUAAUUGCUAAGCAUCCAGUUGUUCUACUGAAGAGUUCCUGUCCUCCGUGCUAAUUGAUUUGGUCUCCACUGUGUACUCAAACUUUUUAACAUCUCAAAUGUAUUUAGAGGUUUUUGGUAACAAGUCAUCAUACCACCUUCUUUCUCCUCUGCUUUGUGUAACACUGCAGCGCUGUUCCGAAACAAAAUGACAGUUCUGAGUGACACAGAAGUUAAAAUUACACAUUGACACUGCUUCCUGCUAGUUCAUGUUAGCGUAGCUCUAAGAAUACAUAUCCAGUCACUCUGAAAUGUCACAUCCAUCACUUAGAUCAGCUGUUCGGUUUUUAACUGAGCACACGUUGAACUUUGGGCAUCUGCUGACACAGUUGUAACUCAAACAUUUCAACUGUGUGACUGACAGGGAUAACAGAUGCUGACAUUAUCAAAUGCUACACGGCUUUUUUUCCAUGGCCAUUUUUUGUCCCGAUAUGGCCAGUACAUGCAACUGUAUUACCAUCCAAAAGCGCACUUGAGCAGCUGUAUCUGUAAAACAGUUCCUGUAUAACUGGUAAAAAUAGAAACUAAUUUUAUAACCAUCUUUAAUGCUGAAGUCCAAGUGACACACCUGCUAUGUUUCUAUUAGCAUGCAUGGUGUUGGGAAUAUAUUUACAUAAAUCUUCUCACCAGUAUCAGACCGUGCAGCAAACAGAUGCAGACUAUACUUGAUGCAGUCAUUAUUAGUGAAUGGCUCCAACUAAUUUUUGUCUACUAUUUCCCACUGCAGUCAAAGUUCACUUUAAAAAAAGAAAAAAAAACACCACUGAAUUCAGCACACAGCAUAUAAAAAGCUAUGUUAGCAUAUGCACAUGUUAAAGGAGGCUUGGUUUAGGAGAAUUAAAAAAAAAAAAAAAUUAAAUCCCAGAUCUUUCAUUUUUUUUUAAACUGCAUUUUACCUGCUAUAUAACACUUACAUAUACAAUCAAGUAGGAAAAAAAAAAAUCUGUCUUGCUAUAUUAUGUAAUCAUUCCUAAAAAGUUAAUACUAACCAGAGAUAUAGUGAUGGAAUUGAAAGCACUUGACAUUUACACUUGUGCUAAGCAAGUACAGCACUAAAGCAGCUGCAAAGGGUAACCUGCCAGAAAACCAAGGGGGUAGGGAGGUGGCAAAAUGAAACCUUCUCUCCAGUAAUGCUCAACAUUGAGAGGCAAAGGAACUCUGCAUGAGUACAGCCUCAAAGCACGCUGUUUGUGGUCACUACCCUAGAAUUUCAUUAUUUCAGAUCAAGAACAGUUUACACUGCAACUAGAAUUUGAGCUGAGACUCAAAGAAUUAGGCAAGGAAAAUACAACCCUGUAUGUAUGAGGCCUCACUGGCACAUAUCUUUCCAUUUUGCCACUUCAAAAUUAAAGAAUUUAAAUUUGCAGUGACUAGAAACAAAACACAGCUCAGGAGGAAGCCACACAUUCUUUGUGAACAGUCCACAUAUGCUAAAUGGUCUUAAAAAUAUGUUAUUAAAUUAUAACCUUCCUGCACUCCAAUGCUUUGCUAAAGCUGGUAAAAUGGAACCAAAUCACCUCUUCAAUGGAUUUGGUCCCCUUCAACCAGCUGUAGCUAUGCAUUGAUCACUACAGGAUUUUUUAUAUAUUUAAAGCUAGAUGAUAAGCCAGAAUAAUUUUGCAGAGAGGGCUGAUUUUUUCCAGGCACUUAGAAGGUAACAAGAAGUACAGUGAAUUCCAUAGUUCAAAAAUCUCAAGGUUGUACCUGUAAAUAAACAGCUAAUGGUUGUAUAUAUUCGUAUAUAUUCAUUGCAAACUGACCUUAAAACAUUUUUGAAGAUAGGCAAACAGCGAAAUAAACACAUUUUCCAAUGA